CUAUAGGAACCAAUCAGGACAUUUUGCCCAAGAUCUAGGACAGAAAGACUCAUGCAGUAACUCCUGCCUUACAGAUCUGGGGACCCUUCACCUGCCUCUACUACUGCAAAUGAUUGGAUAUUCGUCUGACUUGGCUCUUCCCUAAUGUGUGGAACUAAUUUUGUUCACUCUGUUUCAUGCUGGACCUGGCCUGAAAAUGGGCCCUUAUAUUGUCUUUGCACUUUCCAACUUGCCAAGUUUCUGAAAGAAGGACCAAAGUAAUGCCAAGAACUCCCAGAUGAAGAGGACCUUCCUUAGACCUAUAACAGAUUCACUACUUGACUUCAGAGGGAAGUUUCAGCUAAUUCUCAGGAAAAGGUCAAAACAGGCCUGUGACUGUCCCUUGAAUACUGAAGGUAUAAACAAGCUUCUGGCUCCUCCAGGUCAAGCAGAGGAACACUUUUAUUAGAAUGAA
rnacentral:lncRNA from 1 species